AUUUUACUACGAUUCACAAAGCCCUGCCGAAUCAAAAUAGCAGCAAAUACCAAUGCGAUUUCUGUUAGCUACUGUGCAAUUUGCAAGUUUGUGGUUUACUUUCGUAGAUAUGCUUGGAGCAGUGACCGUAAAGGGCACCCAUUGGGAUGGGAUGUACACUUGGAAUCCAGCCGCCCUGUUCAAGUCAAUGGCCCAGAAACAUUCCAUCGUUGGUUUUUGGAUAUGUGCAAGGAUGCUUCACUUGCCUAACAGUCACUGUAGUGUCAAAGUGCUUACAGUGCAGGUAGUCAUCUAAUAUCUACUGCAGUGAAGGCACUUUAAGCACUAUAGUGGCACGGUGACUGGCUUCAUUGCACACUGAUUGUGUGAACCUUAACUGGUGCUUAUGCUAAGGUGCAUCUAGUGCAGAUAGUGAAGUAGACCAGCACCUACUGCCCUACGUGCUCCUUCUGGCAUAAGGGCUGGGACUCUUCUGGUCUAUGAAAAGUGUAUGAUUUAUCCUUGCAGAUCUCUGCUAGUUUUGCAUAGUUGCACUACAAGAGAAAUGGAGUUGUGCAAAUCUAUGCAAAACUGACGGUGGCCUGUGUGUCCAUCUGUCCUGGUGAAUCUUUUUUUAAAUGUAUUAUUAUUGGUUGAGCCGCAUGGAGGGCUUGGGUGUCCUACACCCCUUUCCACCCACGGCAACGUUAAUGUGUGCAAACUGGUUUCAGCAGUAUUAAAGUGCUUAUAGUGCAGGUAGUUCUAUGGCCAUCUACUGCAGUGUGAGCACUUGAUGUACUUCUAAAUGCAUUCAUCGUCACCGGUUACAGCAGACACCGCCGAGGGGAUGGAGCCACUGGUCGCUGGUUAGUUUUGCUGGUUUGCUUUCAGCUUUAUAAUGUACCGCUGUGCAAAUCCAUGCAAAACUGAUCAUAGCAGUGAUUAAUUUAAUCCUUCGUCAGAAUAACAAUCCCUUUCUGUGCAGGUCGGGAUAGGCAGCGAUGCUUUUUACUUGUAUGGUAUUGCACUUGUCCCGGCCUGUUGAGGACUCUGGGAAUUGUCCUGCUGCAGAACACUUUCAGUUAACUUACACCGGUGACCAUAAUGCACCCAUGUAUAUUUGAAGUAAUGUCAAUCAUUUUUGAGUGCUAUAAUUAUUAAAUGGUUUGCACCUCACUUCCACUUUUGAUAUUAUAAUAUAUUGCUUUUGUUGUAGUUGCUGUCCUUCCAGCUGAAUAGUGAAUUGUUGUCAAAGAAAUGUGAGUAGCAUUCUGGGGGUUAAAAGAAAACAUGUAGUCAAGGUCUUACCUCUGUUUAUAAAGCUAGUUGAAUAUCAAAGGGCACGUGUCAGGACACCUACUUCUCAACACUGCAAUGGGACAUCCUUGAGCUUUUGAUUCAUAUGUAUUUUGGUGAAUUUGCAAAUUAAAUGUUUAAUUUCAGGA